rnacentral:tRNA from 1 species
GCCGGGGUAGCUCAAUCGUAAGCAUCACCACGACGAUACGUCAACUCAAACCACUAUUCUAACUCUCCACCAGGGUAGAGCGUGUGGCUCUUAACCUCAAGGUCGCGGGUUCGAGCCCCGCCUUCGGCU